rnacentral:lncRNA from 1 species
UCCUCGUCCAAUUAUUUCUUAAUUGGACAGCAUGGAGUCCUAUUACAUAUAAAGAUAGACCUAAACUAAAUAAUGUUCACUUUUUAUAUUGAUUUUUUUACAUUAUUAAAAUCACUUUUCUAAAGUAAUAAUAACGGCAUCAAUAUUGCUCUAUCCUUGUGUAAUACAAGAGAGAGCUUUGACAACAUGUGUUUCCAAGCUUCAUUGACAAACAAUGAAAUGUUCGGUUUUGAUGGUUUUGAACGGAGUCGAAAAUGGUCUAUUUUGCCGCCGACUCCUCUCCGAAAAGGUGAGUCUAGAACCAGACUACUUUUUGCCCAUGCCUGAUUCUACUUCAUUACUGCAUUUGGUAAGUAAUCUUUUUAUUAAUAAGUCGUGUGACAUUGAUUGUAUUGGAGAAAAGUUAUUAAAAGUAAUUAAUCAUUGUGUAUAUAGUUCUGGGUUACUUUGCUAGGGAUGCAUUUUCGAGGAGUGGCCGGCCCGGUUAUUUGGGGUUUUACUAACACACGGGCGUAGCUUGACAGUAUUUAGUCCAGACGCUGUACCCCAUCCUUUGCCGCUCCGCUUUUGUUUUUGGGUUUCCUGCGAGCGGUAAAGGAGAGGUUACAGCGUCUGAACUAGACAGUAAUGAACUCAUGUAUCACAAAGGGAGCCCAACACAUAAAUAAUGAAAGGAUAAAUGCACCGACAAUGAAACAUAUAAACUUUUAUUCCAAACAAAUAUACUUUUUAUUUACUAAAUUACGUAAGUUGUUUGUUCGUGUAUGAUAAAACUGAUGAUCCAUAUCUAGCCUGCCUGCGUAGCGGCGCUCUAGGGAAUUGCGGAGGGGUAAUGAGAGAAAGGGAGGUCCCCUCCCCCCUCCCCAAGAGCGCCACUACGCAGGCUAAUUCAAAUCAUAACAUGAAUAUGCGAAAUUAAUAUUCUCAAAAACAAAAAAGUCUCUGACAUUAAGCUGGACUCCCGAUAACAAUCCUGGAGAAGUCGGAAGGUCAUUUAUUGAGACGUGAGUGCACUAUCGUGUACGUUCCUAUGUUGGGCUCCCUUUGUGUUGCAUGAGAUCAUUAUGGGGCUCCUGUGGUAUUCAAAAUGGCGAUUACCAAGGAAAAAGCAUUAUUUAUCAAGUUAUUCCUCUUGUUCAAGAGAUAUGGCAAAAAGUAUCGUUCGCUAUAAGAGUGGGAAUAAAGAAGGCAAUCCGUAGUAUAACGUGUUUUAUUGAUCUAUAAAGAGCGGUUGAAAAGCUACAUGUACAAUCGGACUGGGAACUCAGUCCCGGCCUAUUUUGCGUAUGGCGAACGUAAAUAUUCCUAUGGAUGACCUAUAGAGAGCAAUAAAAGGAAACAAAAAGACGCUACACUUUAAGGUUCUCUUCCAAAUCCUUGACAAGUUUUGUCUCGGUAUGAUGAUCUUUAACUUUCUUAAUAGAAGAUGAAGAGGACGUCAUUUGGUACCCACGAGAGUAGGUGUAGACUGCAAGAUAGAAGCUCUAUGGUGCCAACCCUGCUUACAUAACCUAGGAAUGACACAAGGAUGAGCCAUAAGAACAACAAUUGAAUUACACCCCAUCAAAAACAUCAAAAAUGUCUGUAUCUUGAUCCAAAUGGCAACAUACAUGCUAAGAACCUGAGAUUGGGUUAUCUGUGGUGGAUAAAAGUGAAAGUCUCAUAGAUCAACUGAUCCGAUAUUCUCGGAAGAACAUGCAUAGUGGAUGGGAACCUUUGAUGUGAAUGGUCUAUUAGCUUGAUGCUUGACUUUGAGUAGUUCAACGUCUAGCUCAGUGAUUCCAAUGCUCUUGGAAGAACCUUACACAGGUUUAUCUCCAUGGAUGUAAUUGGUUUAUUAACUUGUCUGCUUAGGAAGAAAGGAAAUAAGGAGCCAGCUGCUUUAUGGACUUACUUCCUUGUCCGCCAUCAUUGCAGAAAAAUCUGUAUCAACAUAGCAAAUUCCAAAAGCACUCAAUCAAAAUAUGUUAUGUUAUUUCUCUCAGUUAUUUUAACUUUCUCACAAAAGAUAUGUCUAAAAUUUACAAAGGGUAGGAAAAGUGACUCAUAAAAGAUUAAAUAACAACAAUGAUAAAUAGGCUUAAUAAAAUUCUAAAUUCUGUAAUAGUCCAAUUUUUAAUUAAACAAAACACAAUUUAAAACAUUACAUACCACAA